UUUCAAAAAUUGUUAAGGCUUUGGGGGAGGCACGAUUGUGGCCUAGGGCGAAUUACCAUGCGAAACGUUUUGGGUAAAAAUGAGGUAUGUGUGAUUUUUGCCUUUGGGAGCCAAAAAUUGAAAAUGUCGUAAUUAGAGGCUUCGCCCGAAAUAUUUUUUGGGGCUUGGAUUAGUGACUUGGGGGUAUUAUGGGAUAUUACCAUGCCCUCGGAAGCGAAAAUUUUUGAGCGGAAGGGGGAUUUUGAAAAAUUUGGCCGAACCAAAAACUUGUGGGAGGGGAAAAUUUGCAAAAUUUUUCUAAGUCCACAAUUGAAAAAAAGGUGAUCCCAUUUUUGAUGAAAUGAUCAUAGGUGGUUGAAAAUAUGAUUAUAGGGUUGUAUUUGAAAAGAAAAACUU
rnacentral:lncRNA from 1 species